rnacentral:rRNA from 1 species
UACAGAGGUCUCAAGCGUUGUUCGGAUUCAUUGGGCGUAAAGGGUGCGUAGGCGGCGCGGUAAGUCGGGUGUGAAAUCUCGGAGCUUAACUCCGAAACUGCAUUCGAUACUGCCGUGCUUUGAGGACUGGAGAGGAGACUGGAAUUUACGGUGUAGCGGUGAAAUGCGUAGAUAUCGUAAGGAAGACCAGUGGCGAAGGCGGGUCUCUGGACAGUUCCUGACGCUGAGGCACGAAAGCGUGGGGAGCGAACGGG